rnacentral:rRNA from 1 species
UACGUAGGGCGCAAGCGUUGUCCGGAAUUAUUGGGCGUAAAGAGCUCGUAGGCGGUUUGUCGCGUCUGCUGUGAAAACCUAAGGCUCAACCUUGGGCUUGCAGUGGGUACGGGCAGACUAGAGUGCGGUAGGGGUGACUGGAAUUCCUGGUGAUAGCGGUGAAAUGCGCAGAUAUCAGGAGGAACACCGAGUGGCGAAGGCAGC